UUAAUGUCGCUCGGGCUGUCAUCGCCAAAAUCGAAUAACCAAAAACAAAAAAAGCAAAAAGAAAGUGCGGAAAAAAGGCCAAGUAGUUGUGGAAAUGGUACGACGAAUGGCAGGCAAAACCAUGGCAGGAAAGCCAAGGCCUGACGAAAAAAUAUGCACAGCAUCCUUGACGUUUGUUCGCUCGUUGACGCCCAAGCUGCUGCCGCCGCCUGGACAGUUGAUGUUGCCGCUGUUCGGGCCCCUUCGUCACCCCCCUUUCCUCUUACUCGUUUGGCCAUAGCUGCCACAACCAUCAGCGGUUCAGUCCCCAGAGCUGUCGCUGUCGCUGUGGUUCAGGCUUAGGCUGUUGCUUGUAUCCAAAGAAGGGGUCACUCGAAAAAUAUUCAAACCAAAAUAUAUGCUGACAUUUCCGGUGACGGUUUACUCUUUUUACUAGCUUAUCAGUUUUUCUGAAGCUUUCAAAAUCAGUUUUUCCGCAGUGUAAAUUCUGCCCCAUAGUGGUGGCUGGCAGAGAUGUGUUCAUGUCUAAUGUCGAAAUGGUUAGUUUCACUUUUUGCGUCAGAAAUCGUAAAAUUGGAUAUAAAAUUUUACGAGCGUGUGGCUGGGCCUCGUCUCAGAUCUUGGGGCUCGUCCCUCUUGGACUCUUGAGUGUUCGGUUAGCUCUCUCGUCCUGCGUGGGCAUUCAGCCUGGACCUACACACCAACACACACACGUACAGGCUCGUCAGAGAAUUUGUCCUGGCAAUGGUCGCCUGUUUUUGGUCACGGCACAAAUUUUGACGCUUGACUAGCAAUGGCAGCUAAAAAUGGAGCCAAAAUUGUAGCUGAAGCUGUAGCAGUAUCUUUAGCCUGUAGAUGUAUCUGUAUCUGUGGCUGAUGCUGAAGUGGCAGCCGAAGACGAAAAGCGACGACAGCGGCACUUUGUUUGUGGUAAUAAAUCAUUUAUGCAAGUUGCUGUGGCCGUUUGCGUUGAAACACAAAUUUAACUGAAAUUUGUUUAGCAAUUUGGCUAGUUAAAAAUUUAAGAGCCACUUGGUCGACUCCCCAUCUUGGUCCAUAGUGCCUGUUGGCCUGUUUGUCUUUUGUUCGAACUUUGAAAUGUUGCAUUUAAUGCCGUAACGCCAUAAUAUGCAAUAAUCUUGGCCCCGGAACCAGCACCAGCACCGGCCCCAGCGCACACACUGAGCUGAGCACUCGUCUGGAAAGGAAGCCCGGCGGGAUUGCAGGAGCGUGCUCCGGCAGGAUACAUAUGUCUAUAUGUAUAUUCAUGAGCAAUAUAUUUUAUAAGCAUCAUUGUGCAUAUUGGAUAAAAAAUAAGCUCCAAAUACAAAAAUAUUCCCUUACUAGGAGCAGGCAGGAGGCAAGUAAAAGCAAUCAGACGCCUAGCCAGCCAGUUUUCAUCCUUUUUGCCACUGUCCCUGAACCCAUUCCUCUUUCGAUAUCCUUCUAUCAGAACUUUACCAUUGUGGGAAAUGCUCGGCAGAGCCUCAAACAUCCUUUUUCCAGCUGUGAGCACCCACUACCAAUACAAUACCCCCGGAAGACAGGGGAAGGAUGUGCCGAGUUUGGAAUGUGUUUGUAAGUCUAUUGUAACAGCAAUAUAAGUGCAAGGAUGUAGGGGUGUCUAAGAGCUCCAGAAGCUGAAGUAAAAGCAGAAGCAGGAGCGGCACCACCAGCACCAGCAGCAACAAAAUAUUUACAAAAUUGUAAUGGAAUAUCAACAGAUCAUAAAAUCAUGCACAUUUUAUUUGUCGUAGUCGUAAAAUGUAAAAAAAAUACAAACUUACACAGACACUCUCGCAAACACAUACAUAUAUCGUCCCACACUGCAAAAUCCUGCCUGGGAAUGGAUAAAGUAUAUUGAAAAUAAAA